UCAGCUAAACCUUUCUGGGAACACUCUC
rnacentral:piRNA from 1 species